rnacentral:rRNA from 1 species
CCUACGGGAGGCUGCAGUGAGGAAUAUUGGUCAAUGGCCGCGAGCCUGAACCAGCCAAGUAGCGUUAAGGAUGACUGUCCUAAGGAUUGUAAACUUCUUUUAUCAAGGAAUAAAGUGAGGCUCGUGAGCCUGAUUGUAUGUACUUUAUGAAUAAGGAUCGGCUAACUCCGUGCCAGCAGCCGCGGUAAUACGGAGGAUCCGAGCGUUAUCCGGAUUUAUUGGGUUUAAAGGGAGCGUAGAUGGGUCUGUAAGGCAGUUGUGAAAGUUUGCGGAUUAACCGUAAAAUUGCAAUUGAUACUGGCAGUCUUGAGUAGAGUUGAGGUAGGCGGAAUGCGGGGUGUAGCGGUGAAAUGCUUAGAUAUUACGAAGAACUCCGAUUGCGAAGGCAGCUUACUAAACUGCCACUGACAUUGAUGCUCGAAAGUGUGGGUAUCAAACAGGAUUAGAUACCCGUGUAGUC